rnacentral:rRNA from 1 species
CAGCCGUAAACUAUGCGCGUUAGGUGUACUGGUGACCACGAGUCACCGGGGUGCCGAAGGGAAACCGUGAAACGUGCCGCCUGGGAAGUACGGUCGCAAGGCUGAAACUUAAAGGGAAUUGGCGGGGGAGCACCACAACGGGUGGAGCCUGCGGUUUAAUUGGACUCAACGCCGGAAAUCUCACCGGAUAGGACAGACAUAUGAUAGUCGGGCUGAAGACUCUACUUGAUGAUCUAGAGAGGAGGUGCAGUGGCGUCAGUGACU